GAAAAACGGUACUAUCCUCGUAUAAAUAGCCACAACUUUACCUUUCGAAAACAAUCAAAGAUUUCUUCCGCUUCCCGCAUUUCUACGGAUCAGAGCAAACCCUAACCCUAGAUUCGAUAAUGUCGUCCAAGCAAGGUGGAAAAGCGAAGCCAUUAAAGCAACCAAAGUCUGAAAAGAAGGAAUAUGAUGAGGUUGAUAAGGCCAACAUUCAAAAGAAGAAAGAUGAGGAAAAGGCACUUAAGGAGCUUAGAGCCAAAGCUCAAAAGGGAGCUUUGGGAGGUACUGGUCUCAAGAAGAGUGGAAAGAAAUGAUACCAAGUGAUUGUUAUGUGCACUGAUUUCUGUAUCAAGUUUUCUGUGAUUGUUCUUGUAGAAAUUUAAGAGGAACAAUAUUGGUGGUAUUCUUGUUUUCUGGUUCUACUUGUUUGUGUUCAAUAUGCAACUUUUCUUUUCUUUGUUUUCAAUUUGAAAGAUCUAGCAAGUUUAAA